AGGGUAUUCACUCCAUCAACAUGCAAAUGCUAUUUUACCAUAAGCUUGAAAAAAUUCUAAACAUCAAUCAAAGUAAAUACAUCACACACAUUUUUUUGAGGUCUUGAGGGUUAUAACUUGGCUUGGGUAAAUGGUGGGAUAAUUUUAGGAAAAGUAGGCUAAAUUGGAGUUAGGUAUCCACUAUUAUUCCUUGUUGAAGCAUUACCAUUACCAGGACUCAAUUCAUUGUUAAUAAGGUACCUAGAGAACUUAUCUUUCAAUUUUUUUUUCUCUUUUUUUUUUGUAGAUGCCACUAUUUUUCAUGAUUAAUGGCUCUUUAUUUUUUAAGAAAACUCAAUUAUUUUUGUGAGUCUCUUAUUAUUAUUAUCAUUUUUUUUUUAGUUCUCUAGUACCCCUACCCCAANNNNNNNNNNNNNNNNNNNNNNNNNNNNNNACUUAAAAUGAUGCCAUGACAAGAAAGUUUAAAGCUUCUACCAAACUCCAAAGAGGGCAAACAGAUAAAAAAUUUCAGGUCUAAAAGGCUUAUAAUUUGGUAUGUCACCGAAAGAAAAGGGAUUUUUUUUUAGGCUCAAAAUGGUUUAGCAACGGAUAAAUAAUAAACAGGGUAGCUUGAAAAGGCUCAGAGUACCAAACAAAUAUGUCUCUAUGUGUGUAAAUGCAAAACCAAUCAACAGUAGAGAAUAGUUGCAAGUUCUAGAAAAUAUACA
rnacentral:lncRNA from 1 species